rnacentral:tRNA from 4 species
GCGGGGUUAGUUUAGUGGUAAAACGGCGGUUUUCCAAACCGCGGUCGGGGUUUCGAUUACCCCACCCCGCA